AAAAACAACACUAUCGGUCAUCUCUCUUUUAGGGAUCGCUGCUUCCUUUUUGUUCAGACAUCAGCACCAGUCUAGGGUGUCACCCCUGUUUAUUCGAGAGCUGAUUGGCCUGCCCUCUUCUUGUUUACAGUAGAUCAUCUUACAUAUCUGCAGAAUCUGAUACUUGUAAUCGUAUAAGGCAACCUAUUAGCUUGUUCAUUGCGGCAAUAUGUGCCGACUAACAUCAGUUUGUUUUUUAUAUCGUGUUCUUGACAUGGUAUCAGAGCACUAGGUGCUCUUGGGGUUCAUUGUUCUGCUGUCCGCUGCGUUCUAGGGAUCCGAUCAGUUCUGGAUUGAUCGUUGAAGACCACUGUUUACUCACGGAUUCUUGGUAGUUGACGUGCUUGUCUUGGUACACGCAAAUUUAAUCCAAAUUACAACUAGUAGAUAGUGGUAACUGGGUAUCGAACUCAGGGAGCAUGUGGAAAAUAAAUUAA
rnacentral:lncRNA from 1 species